rnacentral:rRNA from 1 species
CCUACGGGAGGCAGCAGUGGGGAAUAUUGCACAAUGGGCGCAAGCCUGAUGCAGCCAUGCCGCGUGUGUGAAGAAGGCCUUCGGGGUGUAAAGCACUUUCAGCGGGGAGGAAGGCGGUGAGGUUAAUAACCUCAUCGAUCGACGUUACCCGCAGAAGAAGCACCGGCUAACUCCGUGCCAGCAGCCGCGGUAAUACGGAGGGUGCAAGCGUUAAUCGGAAUUACUGGGCGUAAAGCGCACGCAGGCGGUCUGUCAAGUCGGAUGUGAAAUCCCCGGGCUCAACCUGGGAACUGCAUUCGAAACUGGCAGGCUAGAGUCUUGUAGAGGGGGGUAGAAUUCCAGGUGUAGCGGUGAAAUGCGUAGAGAUCUGGAGGAAUACCGGUGGCGAAGGCGGCCCCCUGGACAAAGACUGACGCUCAGGUGCGAAAGCGUGGGGAGCAAACAGGAUUAGAUACCCGGGUAGUC